UGGUUGGUUAAAAGGCAAAUGGAUGCA
rnacentral:piRNA from 1 species